AUACGUAGGGUGCAAGCGUUAAUCGGAAUUACUGGGCGUAAAGCGUGCGCAGGCGGUUUUUUAAGACAGAGGUGAAAUCCCCGGGCUCAACCUGGGAACUGCCUUUGUGACUGCAAGGCUAGAGGACGGCAGAGGGGGGUGGAAUUCCGCGUGGAGCAGUGAAAUGCGUAGAUAUGCGGAGGAACACCGAUGGCGAAGGCAAUCCCCUGGGCCUGUACUGACGCUCAUGCACGAAAGCGUGGGGAGCAAACAGGAUUAGAUACCCUGGUAGUCCACGCCCUAAACGAUGUCAACUGGUUGUUGGGUCUUCAUUGACUCAGUAACGAAGCUAACGCGUGAAGUUGACCGCCUGGGGAGUACGGCCGCAAGGUUGAAACUCAAAUGAAUUGACGGGG
rnacentral:rRNA from 1 species